rnacentral:tRNA from 1 species
GCGCCCAUAGCUCAGAUGGAUAGAGCGUCGGACUACGAAUCCGCAGGUCGGGGGUUCGAAUCCUCCUGGGCGCGCCA